UAAUACGUAGGGUGCGAGCGUUAAUCGGAAUUACUGGGCGUAAAGCGUGCGCAGGCGGUUCUCCAAGUCCGUUGUGAAAGCCCCGGGCUCAACCUGGGAAUGGCAGUGGAAACUAGGGGACUUGAAUCUGGCAGAGGGGGGUGGAAUUCCACGUGUAGCAGUGAAAUGCGUAGAGAUGUGGAGGAACACCGAUGGCGAAGGCAGCCCCCUGGGCUGAGAUUGACGCUCAGGCACGAAAGCGUGGGGAGCAAACAGGAUUAGAUACCCUGGUAGUCCACGCCCUAAACGAUGUCAACUAGGUGUUGGGGAAGCGAUUUCUCAGUACCGCAGCUAACGCGUGAAGUUGACCGCCUGGGGAGUACGGUCGCAAGAUUA
rnacentral:rRNA from 1 species